GAGUUUGAUCCUGGCUCAGGAUGAACGCUAGCGACAGGCUUAACACAUGCAAGUCGAGGGGCAGCGGGGGUAGCAAUACCCGCCGGCGACCGGCGCACGGGUGAGUAACGCGUAUGCAACUUACCUAUCAGAGGGGGAUAACCCGGCGAAAGUCGGACUAAUACCGCAUGAAGCAGGGGCCCCGCAUGGGGAUAUUUGCUAAAGAUUCAUCGCUGAUAGAUAGGCAUGCGUUCCAUUAGGCAGUUGGCGGGGUAACGGCCCACCAAACCGACGAUGGAUAGGGGUUCUGAGAGGAAGGUCCCCCACAUUGGUACUGAGACACGGACCAAACUCCUACGGGAGGCAGCAGUGAGGAAUAUUGGUCAAUGGGCGUAAGCCUGAACCAGCCAAGUCGCGUGAGGGAUGAAGGUUCUAUGGAUCGUAAACCUCUUUUAUAAGGGAAUAAAGUGCGGGACGUGUCCUGUUUUGUAUGUACCUUAUGAAUAAGG
rnacentral:rRNA from 1 species